rnacentral:rRNA from 1 species
CCUACGGGAGGCAGCAGUGAGGAAUAUUGGUCAAUGGACGAGAGUCUGAACCAGCCAAGUAGCGUGAAGGAUGACUGCCCUAUGGGUUGUAAACUUCUUUUAUAUGGGAAUAAAAUGUUCCACGUGUGGGAUUUUGUAUGUACCAUAUGAAUAAGGAUCGGCUAACUCCGUGCCAGCAGCCGCGGUAAUACGGAGGAUCCGAGCGUUAUCCGGAUUUAUUGGGGUUAAAGGGAGCGUAGGUGGAUUGUUAAGUCAGUUGUGAAAGUUUGCGGCUCAACCGUAAAAUUGCAGUUGAAACUGGCAGUCUUGAGUACAGUAGAGGUGGGCGGAAUGCGUGGUGUAGCGGUGAAAUGCUUAGAUAUCACGAAGAACUCCGAUUGCGAAGGCAGUUCACUGGACUGCAACUGACACUGAGGCUCGAAAGUGUGGGUAUCAAACAGGAUUAGAUACCCUAGUAGUC